AUUGAACGCUGGCGGCAGGCCUAACACAUGCAAGUCGAGCGGAUGAAGAGAGCUUGCUCUCUGAUUCAGCGGCGGACGGGUGAGUAAUGCCUAGGAAUCUGACUGGUAGUGGGGGACAACGUUUCGAAAGGAACGCUAAUACCGCAUACGUCCUACGGGAGAAAGCAGGGGACCUUCGGGCCUUGCGCUACCAGAUGAGCCUAGGUCGGAUUAGCUAGUAGGUGAGGUAAAGGCUCACCUAGGCGAGGAUCCGUAACUGGUCUGAGAGGAUGAUCAGUCACACUGGAACUGAGACACGGUCCAGACUCCUACGGGAGGCAGCAGUGGGGAAUAUUGGACAAUGGGCGAAAGCCUGAUCCAGCCAUGCCGCGUGUGUGAAGAAGGUCUUCGGAUUGUAAAGCACUUUAAGUUGGGAGGAAGGGCAGUAAGUUAAUACCUUGCUGUUUUGACGUUACCAACAGAAUAAGCACCGGCUAACUUCGUGCCAGCAGCCGCAGUAACAC
rnacentral:rRNA from 1 species